AUGUGGUCUAAACGUAAAUUGAACUUUCAGGACUUUGAUUGGCAUUCUAGAUGACUGUUUUGAUGGCUAUUACUCAGAAGAGAUGAUAGAGUCUCAGGUUGACCAACGUGUUCUUGAGGAAUUGGUGCGUGAGAAAUUUCCAUCCAAAGUUAGUUAAUCAUCUAGAUUACCUGGGAGUCCAAGUACAAUGGAUCACUGGACCAUGGUUCCUCUCCAUAUUUAUGAACGUACUUCCUUGGGAAAGUGGUCAUGAUCUUUAUCUUGUCAUGCUAUAUAUCUACAUAUACAUGUAUAAUA